UUACCGGAGAUUUUAUGGACCCCGAACCCACUCCCGACCCUCGAUGGAGCCAUCUUUUUUUCCGGUAAUCCCGCUUAGCGCUGCUUUACCGGAAGCGUAAAGCAGCGACGUCC
rnacentral:ncRNA from 1 species